rnacentral:lncRNA from 10 species
GAUCACACCACUGCACUCCAGCCUGCGUGACAGAGGGAGAUUCUUUUUUUUUUUUUUUUUUUAAAAAAAGAAAAGAAACUUUUCUUUAAGUGAGAUCUAACCUUUGUUUGACCAGAGGGGAUAUGCCAAGCAAAGAUUCAGCUCCUGAACGUAAAAUGAGAAUAGACUGUGUUCAUGACUGGCCUGGCUUCGUUUUAUGGAUCUGGUAUGCCCGUCUGCCAAUUUCUGUGAAUACCCUCCAAUAAAAGGCUUAAAUGAGAGGCUCCUGUAAAGCAAUUUGCAUAGUACUUCGCUCUCUCCAAAUAUUAAUUUACUUCCACUUUACUACCUUGUCACCAUCAAUUAAUAUUUCUUUUUAAAGUACUGGCUGCAUUGUACUUUAAUCAACACUAAGAUUUAAUCUAAGUUUAUUCUUUUAUCAUUGCUCAAGGUGAUGUGAUUAGUAUGAGUGACUAUUUCUCAUGCUUCUGAAGACAAAAUAUGAAAAACUGAUGGGAUUAGUUUAGUUACGUGGGCUGUACACCAAGAAUAGUGCUGCAUCUCCUUCUGGUGAAGGCCUCAGGAAGCUUCCAAUUAUGGAGCACGGGGAAGGAGGAGUAAACACAUUACAUGGUAAAAACAGGUUACAGUCUUCAUCUCAGUCCAAUGACCAUAGUGGUACAAGAACAGUACUUUAUAGGUAAAGAAGCACAAGGAUAUAAAUUAAACAGAAAAUCUUCUUAGCCAUGAAAGAGCAAGUUGACCCAAGACUGACAUUUAUAUCUGUGUGAAUCAUUCACUGCACAAUGGGCAAGCUGUGCUAAAACCCAGGCCACGCUCUGCUCACAAAGCCAUGUGCUCCGUCAUAGAGCAGUGAUCUCUUGGAGGAAGAGGCCCCUUGAAGGCAACACCAUAAAGAUAAACAGGUUCUGCCUGACAUAACUCCAGAAGCUGUCCUUUACAAAGACCACUAUGAGAAUGGUAUUCCCUAGAGGUGUGCUAUGCAGUGGCUCUAGACAUCUUUUUGUAGUUUGCUUGCCAAGAAUUCUCCAUGCAAGCUAUUUUAUCAAGGAGGGUGGCAUUUUCCAAUUCUUGCAAUGGUGUCACAUAUGCUAAUGGUGAUCCUGGUUGAGCCUGAUACUGGGAAUGAAUACGUCUUGACUUUUUAUGCCAUUGAUACACAAAGCAGCCAGUAGCCAGGUACAGAAAAAUGAACAGGGAAGCUAAGGUCUGGAUUUGUCAGUGAUU